rnacentral:rRNA from 1 species
GAUGAACGCUAGCUACAGGCUUAACACAUGCAAGUCGAGGGGAAACGGCAUCGAAAGCUUGCUUUUGAUGGGCGUCGACCGGCGCACGGGUGAGUAACGCGUAUCCAACCUGCCCAUCACUUGGGAAUAACCUUGCGAAAGUAAGACUAAUGCCCAAUGACAUCCCACGAAGGCAUCCGAAUGGGAUUAAAGAUUUAUCGGUGAUGGAUGGGGAUGCGUCUGAUUAGCUUGUUGGCGGGGUGACGGCCCACCAAGGCAACGAUCAGUAGGGGUUCUGAGAGGAAGGUCCCCCACAUUGGAACUGCGACACGGUCCAAAAUCCUACGGGAGGCAGCAGUGAGGAAUAUUGGUCAAUGGGCGAGAGCCUGAACCAGCCAAGUAGCGUGCAGGAUGACGGCCCUAUGGGUUGUAAACUGCUUUUAUAAGGGAAUAAAGUGGGUCACGUGUGACUUUUUGCAUGUACCUUAUGAAUAAGGACCGGCUAAUUCCGUG